CGGGUGAGUAACACGUAUCCAACCUGCCGUCUACUCUUGGACAGCCUUCUGAAAGGAAGAUUAAUACAAGAUGGCAUCAUGAGUUCACAUGUUCACAUGAUUAAAGGUAUUCCGGUAGACGAUAGGGAUGCAUUCCAUUAGAUAGUAGGCGGGGUAACGGCCCACCUAGUCUUCGAUGGAUAGGGGUUCUGAGAGGAAGGUCCCCCACAUUGGAACUGAGACACGGUCCAA
rnacentral:rRNA from 1 species